rnacentral:lncRNA from 1 species
GUCCUUUCACCCGGCCUGGAUGGGGUUUGGUUCCUCUUGGGAUGCGAAACCAAACCCCAAACCGGGGCUGGAACCCACCCAACGCCAGGACCCCCCCCCCGGGGCUGGUUUGGGAAGGGCGCACGGGGCUGGAUGGGGCCAGGAGGGAUUUGGGGCAGGGUGGGUGCAUGGGGUGGGCUCCGCAGCGGGGUUUUGGGGUGGUGGUGACCCCAGUGCUCAGCUUCCCACCCCCAGCCCCUCCCUCCAGGGGCUUUGGGACCCCCUGGGGACACAGCAGGGCCACGGGGGAUGCUGUGGACACCGGGAUCGCCCCCAAAGCUGGGCUCUGUAGGGCCAAGGGGACAGGGGGACGAGCCCCCACGCCCCCUCCCCUUUUUCCCCUUUUUGCUCGGUGCCCCCCACCCACACCCAGCCCCGUGGGGGGGGUGUCCCAGGGAUGGUGUCAGCACCCUGAGGGCUGUCCCCGUGCUUUGGGGCUCCCCCUGUCCCCCCCCGACCUAUUUAUGGGGCCAUCUGCUCCCGGCACAAAGCGGAUUUGGAGCCUGGUGGGAUCAGGGCCUGGGGGCUGCGGGGGGCAACACCACAGCGGCGCGGGGUGUCCGGCUGUCCCUCUGUCCGUCCCUCUGUCUGUCCGGCCCCCGGCCCCCUGCAGCCCCUGCCCCCCCCCAGCCCGUGUCCGUCCUCCCCCCGCAGCCCUUCCCCUUUCGCCCCUUUCCCCACAUUUCCAUUUUUUUCCUUUUAAGAUUUUCCGCCUCCUUUCAUUUCCUUUUUAUUCCCUUUUCAAUUCACUUUCCUUUUUAUUUCCCCCAUUUUUUAAAAAAAAUUUCUUCCCCUUUUGCCCUUUUUUAUUCCUUUCCCUUUUUUUCCUUUCCCUUAUUGCCUUUUUAUUUCCCCUUUCCUUAUUUUUUCCUUUUUUAUUUCCUUUCCCUUAUUCCCUCUUUAACCCCUUUCCCUUUUUCCCCUUUUUUCCCUUUUUUCCCUUUUUCCUUUUUCCCUUUUUUUCCCUUUUUCCCUUUUUCCCUUUUU